UACGUAGGGGGCAAGCGUUGUCCGGAAUCAUUGGGCGUAAAGAGCGUGUAGGCGGCUUGGUAAGUCCGCUGUGAAAGUCCAGGGCUCAACCCUGAAAGCCGGUGGAAACUGUCAAGCUUGAGUCCGGAAGAGGCGAGUGGAAUUCCUGGUGUAGCGGUGAAAUGCGCAGAUAUCGGGAGGAACACCGAUUGCGAAGGCAGCUCGCUGGGACGUAACUGACGCUGAGACGCGAAAGCGUGGGGAGCAAACAGG
rnacentral:rRNA from 1 species